AUGGCUCAUCCACAGAGUCACCCUGAGGCCACGAUCCAGCCCAUGGGUGCUGGACAUUGCUACACACAGCCACCUCCGCUCUGUCCGGCUCCUCUCUCCCCAUCCCGGGAUGGCUCCGCUUCCAUCCCCAACUGCGGACAAAGGAGCACAGGCCACCGAAACGCUCAGGAGGCUGAAACACGCUUUGAUGGUGCCCCAGGUGAAGGCAUGGUGGGCACAGGGCAGCUCCAUGACAGGGUCUGCAUUGCUGCUUGGUUUCUAAAGAUGAAACAGCUGCUUUGGAAACCCCAAACAGGAGAGGAUGGUCUAAAUAAUACCCCUGGAAUACCAGGAAAAGGUACACACGAAGCUUGGUCUGGCAGGCCUCAAUGCUGAAGAAAGGUGUAGCUGGUCAGGACAGCAGUUUUGGGGACAUUUCCAUAAGUUUAUGUGACUUGCCCACAGAAGCAGGGUCAUGUUUGAAAUGUGGCCAUCCUGCUGCUCCUCCAGCUCCUCUUCUAGGGAGAGGAAAUGGUGUGAGCAGGGAAUGGGGGCUCUGUGCUCUUUGUCAGAUGUGAGAUAAGUGGUGCAAGGAUCGUGGGUGAGACGUGGGCAUGGUCUUGUAGGGAGGAUGAGCUCCAGACCCUGAUGUUCUUUGAGCAAGGGGAAAAUGUCAUAUGGAGAUAACCCCUGCCACAGCCUGCCCUGCAGGGAGCUCUCCUUCCCCACCUCCACCCCCUCAGAUUUUAAACUGUACAGGAGAGCUGAGCUUGUCUUGUGGCCUGUGGAGCAAAAGCCAUCAAAUGAAGGUGUCAGAUGCAAUUUUUCCUCUGCUGGUACAUUGGUAGACAGAGCAGGGUUUAUUUGCUCCAAGAGAAAAAAACCCACCCAGCCUUUAUGAGUCUGGAUUUCUGUGCUGCGUCCAACCGAGCAACACCUGUUCACUCAGCUGAUGCUGCUGUAUGUCCUUGAAAUAGGCUGGUGGAUGAGAGAGGAGGCUCUCCAGGCAUGUGGACUUCAUUUGGAACCCUUUUCUUUUUAUUACUUGAACACAUCAUGUAUCUGGGGCAAGAAAAAGGCUUCUCAGCCCAGUGCAGUGAGUGGGGACACACAUGCUGGAGAGGUAGAUAUAUAUGUCUCAGUAUUUUUAUACAUUUAUCACACCCGAGUGAGCAGCCACAGCUUUGCAAACAGCAUUUUUAGGACUAUAAAUACACAGCCACGAUUUGGGGUAUGUAUCUAUGGCCAGUAAGCCACCAAAACAUUCAUACAUGCCCUCCAAAAGUCAAGAGAUGUUUAGAACAUUUAAUUGGAUAUCAGUUGGGUCACAGACACGUUUUCCGUGGUGAAUUCUCUGUCAGGUGCACAGGGAAUGGUGCUUGCUGUAUGAGCAGGUACUUGUUGGCCUCUGCUCUGGUUAUUUGCUGCCUUUCCACGCCUCAGCUCGGGCCAUGCUGAGCGAGCUGUGCUCUGAGGAUGGGUUUUUUUCAGUUCUGUUUGCUCUGCUGCCAUGUCCUUACCCCUACCUGAGCACUGAUGUGAGGCACCAUUCUGGGUUUGGUGCUCCUUCAGCUCACACAAAAGUUCUGCUGAAGGGAAGAGGAUGGGCAGGAGGGGCAUGGAGCUGCUGGAGUGAGUCCACAGGAGGCCACCAAAGAUCAGAGGGAUGGAUAAGCUCUGCUGUGAGGAAAGGCUGAGAGAGUUGGGAUUGUUCAGCCUGGAAUAAGAGAGGCUUCAGAGUGAGCUAAUUGUGUUCUUUCAGUACCUGAAGGGAGCCUGCAAGGAAGAUGAAGAGACUGUUUACAAGGGCUUGGAGGAACAGGGGAAUAGAGAAUGGCUUCAAACAGAAAGAGAAUAGGUUUACGUUGGGAUACUGGGAAAAAAUUCCUCCCUGUGAGGGUGGUGAGGCCCUGGCCACAGAGAAGCUGUGGCUGCCCCUGGAUCCCUGGAAAUGUCCAAGGCCAGACUGGAUAGGGCUUGGAGCAACCUGGGGCAGUGGAAGGUAUCCCUGCAUGUGAUGAGAAUGAGAUGAUCUUUAAGGUCCCUCCAACCCCAACCUUCUCUAAUGAGACCUCAUAACCUGGAGUCCCCCUCUGAAUAAAACCAACAUGACAAAGGUGGCUGCA
rnacentral:lncRNA from 1 species